rnacentral:lncRNA from 1 species
UCGGGGUGGGUGCGGGCGCCUGGGUGAGUCCCUGAGGCCACGGAGCGGGCGGCUGGUGCGGGAACCUGGGACAGCCCGGGGAGCCCCUGGGAAGGAGGACAGGGGCCCUGCCCGCUGGCCUGUGCCAUGUGCUCGGGUCCGAGCGCAGUGCUGGCUACGCCGGGGUCAGUGCCUAGGUCCCGCGGGUGGAGGUGCAUGGCGACCGCGCGGCGUUGGGAGUGGGCGGGCGGGCCGACCAGCACCGGGAAGCCUGUCAUAUUCUGAAGCUGUUGGGCCUGAGCCGUUGCCAAAUCCGCUAAUCUCAGCGCUGGCGGGUUCCUCUUGCUCAAAGGGGGCUCCAUCAUAACUAUACAAUCAGGCCCAUGGACCCUCACUGGGGGGACUUUUUCCCCCUCUGCCCGCCUUCAAAAACAUGUAUAUAUUAGGGGCUCUUUAACUUCUUGUGUCCGGGCCUCCUAGCUGCUUAUUCUUGUCCCCACUCUAUCCUCCAGCGAUUGGCAGAGUGAACACCACAUUUGAGCUGCACAGUGGGACCGAGUUUUUGGAAAUGGCACGGGUGGGAUUGGAGGGAGCCGUGUGAUUGGCAGCUGCCUCGGCUGCGCGAUUGGCUCUGGUUCAGGCUCUGGGCCCAGCGGGAAACCGCCCCCGUGUACCACACCGCCUGUGCUUUCACUUCGUGCCCCCUCUUCCCCUGGAGCUCUGCAUCCCGGCUUCCCCUGAGAUGCCUAAGUUUCCCUUGCAGAAAGUUUGCACUUGGCCGCCGGGCUCAGUCCCCUUCGAAUGCCAGUCUCCGGGUCGACCUGCCUGGCGCAGAGCGUCUGCUAGCUCCGUGCCAAAGUGGACGGGAAUGAGAGAGGUCAUGGGACCUCCCCACCAGGGGUAAAGCGAGGGGGCAGGGGUUGGGGGGGGGGGUGGUGGAAGAAGAUGAAGAACUCACUUGAACUCUUUCUACUUCUUCUCUUGGAUAAUCUCUGGAUGCAUCUGCACUGAAUGACCAUCGCAUUUGUAGCGGUGCCAAAAACUUAUCAAAUGGACUCUGUCUGUCCCUGGGCCCACGUGGAGUGCAGACUGUAGGUGUAAUAAGGACAAUUAUUAAACUAUAUUGGUCACAAAACAAUUUGAUGGAGCGCGGCAAACUACCAAAGUCAAAAUAAUAUAUAAUAAAUCUUUCCCCAAAGGAACAGUCUUGCUUAGACUUUUUAGCUCAUGGAUUCGACAUGGUUCAGAGGACCUAACCUCACACUACGAGUGGGUUCUAGAUCUGCUACUCCCAAUUAGAGCUCACGGAGGAGGAGGUGGGCGGGGUGGGGUGCGGUUCGAACUUUUGCCUCUCAGAGAGAUACAGUGUCAGGGAAGGCCCAAUGGCUACUCUCCUAAGUGUAAGCCUUUAAAUAGGAGAUGUCUUUUUAAGCAAAAUUCCUCCUUGCCCAGAACGCAUGCCACAUAUGUGCCUCGGUUUCUCUGAAAGGACCACAAGCUAGAAUAGACCAAAUACAAUAGUUAAAAAAUAAGUAUCUAGUCUUUAUUUAUUAAUAAAAUAAACUUCCUCCUUAAACUGAAA